CGCGCUCCCGCCGCCCCAGCUGCGCCGCGCUCCAGGCCACAAGUUUGCCCCGCGUUGGCCAAGUUGCGAGUGGGGAGCCUCUCCGGGCUCCGGGCUGAGCGUCCGUCUUCUCGCUCGGGCUGGUCCGGGCAUGGCCGGGCCGGGAGCGUCGCCCCACGUCUGGGGGUGGCUGCUGCACGGAGGUUGCCUUCUCGUCGGAGCCCAGGUCAUUUUAUUUUCAAAACAACACAUUGACUGAGAUGCUGAGCACAAUAUUUAUUGUGAAUGUCCACAAGUACUCACCAUCCCUGAGCCUCUUUCCUCAUGUGCAAUGGAAACCUUGAAAGAAUGGUGUCUGGAAGAAAUGAGACAACAGGUGCAAAAGCCAAAGCACGUCUAGUAUCUGUGCUCAAUGGGCAGCUGCUUCAUUUAGAGAGAGAGCCUUUCUCGUUAUACAUACUCAUCUAGGUACUUAAAAAGAAAAGGUGAAAGAUGAAUAAGACAUGUCCCCAGCUUUGGAAGAACCCACAAUCUAGCAGAUGGGACAGAAAACCAAUCAGAGCAUUAGAGUAAAGCAGAUAAGUGCCAGGAAGGGGUGUAUAUACAAAGUGCUGUGGGGAUGUGAGAGAGAAGAUUGCUUUAGCUUCAGGCAAAGUCAGAGAGGUUUUAAAGGAAUGAUGUUUCACAAAUCAAUCAAUGUGAUACAUCACAUUACUAAAAGAAAAGAUAAGAACCAUAUGAUCCUGUCAAUCGAUGCAGAAAAAGCCUUUGACAAAAUUCAG